rnacentral:rRNA from 1 species
UACGGGGGGGGCAAGCGUUGUUCGGAAUUACUGGGCGUAAAGGGCUCGUAGGCGGCCAACUAAGUCAGACGUGAAAUCCCUCGGCUUAACCGGGGAACUGCGUCUGAUACUGGAUGGCUUGAGAUUGGGAGAGGGAUGCGGAAUUCCAGGUGUAGCGGUGAAAUUCGUAGAUAUCAAGCGGAGCACCGGUGGCGAAGGCGGCCUUCUGGACAGUGACUGACGCUGAGACGCGAAAGCGUGGGGAGCAAACAGG